UAUACAACCACACGCCCUAGGCUCAUCAGGUAAGGAAGCGACAACUCCUUUGAAGAUAUACCCAUCUUUGAUCUUGAAAUCAGCGAUUGAUUGCUCGAUUGUUGAAUCAUAAGCUAUGUUGCUUCGUGUUGACAUAGCCUGUAAUUUUGGUCGAGUAGAAAUCGAUGGAUUCUUGAACAUACUUGGGUUUCGCGAAGGUGGGUUCGUUGGUUUUCUUGCAGGGAGAGAAAACGACGAUGGGAUUGGAUCAGCUUCGCAUUGUGAGGUUCUGUCCAUGAAGCGUGCGAUGUGUCCUCUUUUCAUGGCGAAUUGAGAAGAAAGGUCUGAGAUUCCGAGGUUUAGAAGCUCUGCUAGACAUUUUCCUGAAGCUUCUAGCUUAUCUGCGUAUUGCAUUAGUGAUCGAUCAUGAAGUUGGAACAUCAUCCCAGCCAUCAUCUAAUAGCUUUGGAAGAAGUUUCUUUAGAGACCCGGUUCCCACAAAAUCCUCCAUCGAGAAAGAAGCCAUGGAAUGUGAAAACUGUAUCAAACUUGAUCAAGUUGAUGAACUUAUAGGCCUAAAUCCCAUCUCAGAAUACAAGAGACGUCCAUUUGCAUGUUAUAUAGUACUAUAAAACAAGUAGAAACUUGUGUCUUUUUGACAAUAUCAAUGGUGGUUUAGUUAAUUUGAUAUUAGAGAACAGAAAGACGUGUUCUUCUAAUAAACUAUUCAAAGAAACAAUCUAUAAACAAUUUCAUGAAAUAGAAAAGCAGCAAAAUAGUUGAUGAUGACGUCAUCUUACUUGCCGGCCUUAACCCCUUGUGCUAUAUUUUAAUCUUUACUAUAAUUUGGGGUUUUAUCUCAAAGCCAAUUGGCAACAGCUAUGUACUCGAUCAUAACAUAUGUUUAUAUUUCUUGAUGCGUGUCAUUAAUCUUGAAUUAUAAAA